rnacentral:rRNA from 1 species
GAAGCGGCAACAGCUCAAAUUUGAAAUCUGGCCCUUUCGGGGCCCGAGUUGUAAUUUGUAGAGAGUGUUUCGGGUGAGACCAUGGUCUAAGUUCAUUGGAACAUGGCGUCAUAGAGGGUGAGAAUCCCGUAUGUGACUGUGGAUCGAGCCCAUGUGAAGCCUCUUCGACGAGUCGAGUUGUUUGGGAAUGCAGCUCAAAAUGGGUGGUAAAUUUCAUCUAAAGCUAAAUACUGGCUGAAGACCGAUAGCGCACAAGUAGAGUGAUCGAAAGAUGAAAAGCACUUUGGAAAGAGAGUCAAACAGUACGUGAAAUUGUUGAAAGGGAAGCGCUUGCAACUAGACCUGUCCGUAGGUGAUCAGCCGCUGUUCUCAGUGGUGCACUCGCUCUGCGAUCAGGCCAGCAUCGGUUCGGGCGGUCGGAUAAAGGACUUGGGAAUGUAGCUUCCUUCCGGCAGUCUUAUAACCCUCCCUGCCAUGCGGCCAGCCGGGACCGAAGACCGCGC